AUGCUCACUUCAGCAGCACAUAUGCUAAAAUUAGAAUGACACAGAGAAGAUUAGCAUGGCCCCUCCACAAGAAUGGCAUGCAAUUUCAUGAAGCAUUCCAUAUUUUU
ensembl:snRNA U6 U6 spliceosomal RNA